rnacentral:misc_RNA from 1 species
AAGUCGUAACAAGGUUUCCGUAGGUGAACCUGCGGAGGGAUCAUUAAGACGUAUCCAAACGUUAAAACCCCCAUGCCCCCUAAUAACCCCACAGUAUAAUGUGAAGCUCAAUGUAAUACAUUGGGUAAAAAAACCGAACAACUGUUAACAAUGGAUAUCUUGGUUCUC